ensembl:misc_RNA 7SK 7SK RNA
GGAUGUGAGGGUGAUCUGGCUGUGAUAUCUAUCACCCCAUUAAUCACUAGGGCUGAUUCGGCUGACCUGGCUGGCUAGGUGGCUGUACCCUCCCUCCCUCAUGGAUCCAUGUGCAUCCUUUCUAAGCCUCACACUUGGUUGACAACCUUCCUGGAAUAGGGAGGGACUGGUCUUUGGUUGAGGUUAUAGGAAUAGCUGCACUCCCCUGCGAGAACCUCCAAAUAAACUCUCAAGGUGGAGUUUUACAGUGAUUUAAGAUACAAAAGAAGAAAAAUUAUUUCUGUACAAAUAUUGCAAUAG